GUGGGGAAUCUUGCGCAAUGGGCGAAAGCCUGACGCAGCCAUGUCGCGUGAAUGAUGAAGGUCUUAGGAUUGUAAAAUUCUUUCACCGGGGACGAUAAUGACGGUACCCGGAGAAGAAGCUCCGGCUAACUUCGUGCCAGCAGCCGCGGUAAUACGAAGGGGGCUAGCGUUGCUCGGAAUUACUGGGCGUAAAGGGCGCGUAGGCGGACAGCUUAGUCAGAGGUGAAAGCCCAGGGCUCAACCGUGGAAUUGCCUUUGAUACUGGCUGUCUUGAGUUUGGGAGAGGUGAGUGGAACUCCGAGUGUAGAGGUGAAAUUCGUAGAUAUUCGGAAGAACACCAGUGGCGAAGGCGACUCACUGGCCCAAUACUGACGCUGAGGCGCGAAAGCGUGGGGAGCAAACAGGAUUAGAUACCCCAGUAGUCC
rnacentral:rRNA from 1 species